AAAAAGUAUAGAAGUAACCUUGAACACAUUAUUCGGUACUACUUUUACAGGUUAACAACUUCACAUUACAAUACUAACAAAAUAAUCUUCGUGUAUAAUAUAUGUAUCUGCAGAAGCCCCGUCCAACUAUGCUACAUAGAAAACUACGACGAUGAUUUACAGAAUAGUACUGAAAACAGAUUCUCUUGAGAGCAAUGGACUCGAGGGAAUACCAACGCACAGAAUUCCUCUAACCAGCAGCACUUCUGCAAUUAGAAUUGAACCAGAUCCGCUCUUUUUCUCCUCUAAUUGACGUGGUGCUUGCUGUGUAGUAAACUUCACCUUUAAUGUUGACUCUUCUGAAAUGCAAUACUAUCUACUCCAUAUUGCUCUUCUAAAGCCUUGAUGCCACUGAAACAUGUAAUUCACACUAAAACGUUAGCAAAAUAAAUUGCAAAAUUCCUAAUAUUAACUGAUCAAUACUUUGGUUUUCUUUCUUCGCUGGGUUAUAUUUAUUUGCUUCAUCACAUUCUUGAUUGCCGAGUUUUUGAUACUCGGAAGUAAAUCUUAAUAACACGUCAAGUUUUAGGCUAAUACUGUUCUACACUAAACACGAGACCCCCCCUGCACAUACUCAAACAACAUAUAUGAUUAUAUAAGAAAGGAAGAGCCACAAAAAGCAAACAGCCUGACAAAUUUAUGAAGAAAAAGGCAACUAAACGUGAUAAAACAAAGUAAACUUUCUCAUU
rnacentral:lncRNA from 1 species